rnacentral:rRNA from 1 species
AUUGAACGCUGGCGGCAGGCCUAACACAUGCAAGUCGAACGAGUGGCGGACGGGUGAGUAAUGUCUGGGAAACUGCCCGAUGGAGGGGGAUAACUACUGGAAACGGUAGCUAAUACCGCAUACCAUCGGAUGUGCCCAGAUGGGAUUAGCUAGUAGGUGGGGUAACGGCUCACCUAGGCGACGAUCCCUAGCUGGUCUGAGAGGAUGACCAGCCACACUGGAACUGAGACACGGUCCAGACUCCUACGGGAGGCAGCAGUGGGGAAUAUUCCACAAUGGGCGAAAGCCUGACGCAGCCACGCCGCGUGUAUGAAGAAGGUCUUCGGGUCGUAAAGCUCUGUUAUUGGGGAGGCGUUACCUGCAGAAGAAGCCCCGGCUAACUACGUGCCAGCAGCCGCGGUAAUAC